GAUCCUGGCUCAGGAUGAACGCUAGCUACAGGCUUAACACAUGCAAGUCGAGGGGCAGCAUGACCUAGCAAUAGGUUGAUGGCGACCGGCGCACGGGUGAGUAACACGUAUCCAACCUACCGGUUAUUCUGGGAUAGCCUUUCGAAAGAAAGAUUAAUACCGGAUAGCAUAACGAGAAGGCACCUUCUUGUUAUUAAAGAAUUUCGAUAACCGAUGGGGAUGCGUUCCAUUAGUUUGUUGGCGGGGUAACGG
rnacentral:rRNA from 1 species